UACGUAGGGUGCAAGCGUUAAUCGGAAUUACUGGGCGUAAAGCGUGUGCAGGCGGUUGUGUAAGACAGAUGUGAAAUCCCCGGGCUCAACCUGGGAACUGCAUUUGUGACUGCACAGCUGGAGUGCGGCAGAGGGGGAUGGAAUUCCGCGUGUAGCAGUGAAAUGCGUAGAUAUGCGGAGGAACACCGAUGGCGAAGGCAAUCCCCUGGGCCUGCACUGACGCUCAUGCACGAAAGCGUGGGGAGCAAACAGG
rnacentral:rRNA from 1 species